rnacentral:rRNA from 1 species
UACGGAGGGUGCAAGCGUUAUCCGGAUUCACUGGGUUUAAAGGGUGCGUAGGUGGGCAGGUAAGUCAGUGGUGAAAUCUCCGGGCUUAACCCGGAAACUGCCAUUGAUACUAUCUGUCUUGAAUACCGUGGAGGUGAGCGGAAUAUGUCAUGUAGCGGUGAAAUGCUUAGAUAUGACAUAGAACACCAAUUGCGAAGGCAGCUCACUACACGAAUAUUGACACUGAGGCACGAAAGCGUGGGGAUCAAACCGG